GGGGGCGUAACGGUUUCGACGGGGACAUUUGAAGUUGUAGAAGCGUGCCGAGGUUCCUACAGGCCUCGUUAAACAGGUAGGAAACAUAUAAUCGCAGACAACUACGAUUACGCUUUAGCCGCUUAGACGGCUAACGUUCCACAAGGCCUGCCUGUCGGCUGAACUGGAACGUCAUUAAAGACAGGAUAGCCAAACUUCAUGCCUGGGGGAGGGCGGCGAAACCUUACAGGAUAGCGCGGUGAGAUCCGGCCUUAGGGAGCAAGCCAGCGUGAAGGUUCUAAAACGAAGGCUACGCACGUAGAAGCUCCAGCGGAAGGUUUUCGGACGCGGGUUCAAUUCCCGCCGCCUCCACCA
rfam:Smithella sp. F21 contig_65, whole genome shotgun sequence.